rnacentral:rRNA from 1 species
GACGAACCGUGCAAACGUUGUUCGGAAUCACUGGGCUUAAAGGGCGCGUAGGCGGACUCGCCAGUCUGUGGUGAAAGCCCCCGGCUUAACCGGGGAAGUGCCAUGGAUACUGCGAGUCUGGAGGAGGGUAGGGGCAUCUGGAACGCUGGGUGGAGCGGUGAAAUGCGUUGAUAUCCAGCGGAACUCCGGUGGCGAAGGCGAGGUGCUGGACCCUUUCUGACGCUGAUGCGCGAAAGCCAGGGGAGCAAACAGG